UACGUAGGGUGCAAGCGUUGCCCGGAAUUAUUGGGCGUAAAGAGCUUGUAGGCGGUUUGUCGCGUCUGCUGUGAAAUUUCGGGGCUCAACCCCGAACUUGCAGUGGGUACGGGCAGACUAGAGUGUGGUAGGGGAGACUGGAAUUCCUGGUGUAGCGGUGAAAUGCGCAGAUAUCAGGAGGAACACCGAUGGCGAAGGCAGGUCACUGGGCCACUACUGACGCUGAGAAGCGAAAGCGUGGGGAGCGAACAGG
rnacentral:rRNA from 1 species